UAAGGAAUAUUGCGCAAUGGGCGACAGCCUGACGCAGCGACGCCGCGUGGGGGAUGAAGGUCUUCGGAUUGUAAACCCCUUUCGGCAGGGAAGAUGGAACGGGUAACCGUUCGGACGGUACCUGCAGAAGCAGCCACGGCUAACUUCGUGCCAGCAGCCGCGGUAAUACGAAGGUGGCAAGCGUUGUUCGGAUUUACUGGGCGUACAGGGAGCGUAGGCGGUUGGGUAAGCCCUCCGUGAAAUCUCCGGGCCUAACCCGGAAAGUGCGGAGGGGACUGCUCGGCUAGAGGAUGGGAGAGGAGCGCGGAAUUCCCGGUGUAGCGGUGAAAUGCGUAGAGAUCGGGAGGAAGGCCGGUGGCGAAGGCGGCGCUCUGGAACAUAUCUGACGCUGAGGCUCGAAAGCGUGGGGAGCAAACAGGAUUAGAUACCCCCGUAGUCCCUGAGCGGGCUGGCAAGGCGCAU
rnacentral:rRNA from 1 species